rnacentral:lncRNA from 1 species
AUGAUGUUUAAAGCUCACUAUGGAUCUACAAACAGUGUCAACUUGAAUUUGAGUGUGGCUGUGGAAGAUGGAUCCCUUCAUGAUGUAUGCAAGUGGCUGAGUACCAAUGAUCUCCGUGAUUCCAUCCCAUCAAGUUCACAGCUGCAGCAAACAGCCCAGCAAAAUGGCACACCAAUUGGCCUUCAGCAUGACAUAUCAACUGGCCAGCAACAGGACACAUCAAUCAGCCAAAGAGUCUGGCCACCUGUGUUUAGACUUCCAGGAUUUCCAGCCGUAUUCAAAUUCAAACGGGGAGGAGAAAAUUGCGAUGAUCUCCAUCGCCCUACUGUGCACUCGAAGUGGAGGUCUCGGAUUGUGCAGGUGUUCGAACGUCAUGUGUACCUACACUUGGUAACCCGCUACCCGGCAAUACAUGGAUGUGUGCACAGCGCUCAUUCAAAAGUACCCCUCGUUGAGAGACCAGACAGGGAAGUGAUAUGA